GACGUAGGUGGCGAGCGUUGUUCGGAAUCACUGGGCAUAAAGCGCACGUAGGCGGCCAAGUCAGUCAGGUGUGAAAUACCUCGGCUCAACCGAGGAACUGCGCCUGAUACUGCUUGGCUUGAGGUCCGGAGGGGAGAGUGGAAUUCCCGGUGGAGCGGUGAAAUGCGUAGAUAUCGUAAGGAAGACCAGUGGCGAAGGCGGGUCUCUGGACAGUUCCUGACGCUGAGGCA
rnacentral:rRNA from 1 species